UACAGAGGGGCGAGCGUUGUUCGGAAUUACUGGGCGUAAAGGGCGCGUAGGCGGCCUGCUAAGUCAUACGUGAAAUCCCUCGGCUCAACCGAGGAACUGCGUCUGAUACUGGUUGGCUUGAAUUCGGGAGAGGGAUGCGGAAUUCCAGGUGUAGCGGUGAAAUGCGUAGAUAUCUGGAGGAACACCGGUGGCGAAGGCGGCAUCCUGGACCGGCAUUGACGCUGAGGCGCGAAAGCUAGGGGAGCAAACGGG
rnacentral:rRNA from 1 species